rnacentral:rRNA from 1 species
AUGAAGGUCCCGUCUGGAUUCUCGUCCAAUAUAAAGGGAAUAAUAAACAUGGCGGAGAAAAAGUUCCAAAACCUGAAGUCUCACGACUGCCACGUGAUUAUGACGCAAUUGCUUCCGAUUGCUUUGAGGGGGCUCCUGCCGGAAAAUGUUCGAGUAGCCAUUGUGAAGCUAUGUGCAUUCCUCAAUGCAAUCUCUCAGAAGGUAAUCAAUCCAGAAGUUCUACCACGGUUACAGAACGAUGUGAUCCAAUGUCUUGUCAGUUUCGAGUUGGUGUUCCCGCCAUCCUUCUUCAAUAUUAUGACGCACCUCCUGGUUCACCUAGUCGAAGAGAUUUUCGUUCUCGGUCCUGUAUUUCUACACAAUAUGUUCCCCUUCGAGAGGUUCAUGGGAGUAUUAAAGAAAUAUGUU